rnacentral:pre_miRNA from 2 species
UCUUACAGAUGAGCAAAGAAAGUAGUUUCUUCGUAAGGUAUCUACUCCUGGUGAAGAUGCUGUGAA